GAUGAACGCUGGCGGCGUGCCUAAUACAUGCAAGUCGAGCGAACGGACGAGAAGCUUGCUUCUGUGAUGUUAGCGGCGGACGGGUGAGUAACACGUGGAUAACCUACCUAUAAGACUGGGAUAACUUCGGGAAACCGGAGCUAAUACCUGAUAAUAUUUUGAACCGCAUGGUUCAAAAGGUAAUGACGGUCUUGCUGUCACUUAUAGAGGGAUCCGCGCUGCAUUAGCUAGUUGGUAAGGUAACGGCUUACCAAGGCAACGAUGCAUAGCCGACCUGAGAGGGUGAUCGGCCACACUGGAACUGAGACACGGUCCAGACUCCUACGGGAGGCAGCAGUAGGGAAUCUUCCGCAAUGGGCGAAAGCCUGACGGAGCAACGGCGCGUGAGUGAUGAAGGUCUUCGGAUCGUAAAACUCUGUUAUUAGGGAAGAACAGAUGUGUAAGUAACUGUGAACAUCUUGACGGUACCUAAACAGAAAGCCACGGCUAACUACGUG
rnacentral:rRNA from 1 species